GAGGACGGCGGGAGUGGUUAGAUGGGGCGGGGGGAGAGGGAUUUAUGGGGACGUCUUCCAGGAGGUCGUGGGUUAGUGACGACCGGUUUGAUAAAACCAGGGGAAUUUAACUGUCGAGCGUGGCAGCUCAGGAGCUGCCUUCUGCGUGGGUUUGGAAUGACAGGUCUUGAAUUUUUAGGGGACGAACGCAGCCGUUCCAGAGGCAUGGGUGCUUUGUGUGGGAAAAGGCCCCACGCAGCCCCUUUCAUGUGGGAGCAUGUACUAGUCCCUCCUUAAUAACCGUGGGGAAAGUUCCCAGGUCUGACUGGGCAGGGAGGCUGGGAACGGGCUCACCGCUCCUGGCCAUCCGGUCCCCCCACCUAUAUAACCCAGGCAGUCUGAACAGUCUCCCAGCACAGAGCAACCGCGACUUUGCCGUGCCCAGGGGAAAAAGAAGCUUAGUUUUGUCCAUUGGCAGUCCUCACACAUACCUAAGACGAUCCCAGCAGUAUCCCUGCCUCCGAACCCGCCCAGAAAGUGUACCGCCCGUCCUUGAAAGUUGGAAUUUUUAUUGAUGAGGAAAGAGACCAAGCUUAUGGCCCAGGACGCGACAUUAAAGAAGUGUUUCAAGGGAAGGGCAGGGACAGUACCCAGAAGUCCAUGGUAAUUUAUGUAAUCUGGGAAGGCGUGUUUUAUUUUUAUGUUUUAAUGGGCGCGGAUUAAGGGUAGAUGAAAUGUACGUAUAUUUUAAUUAACUGCAGAGACCUAUAACCGGAAGGUAGAACUCUUUCUUCCUAGAAAACCAUUUUUUUAAAAAAAAUUAGGCCAUUCUGCUCUGGACUCAGACGGGACAUCUGAUCCAAUUCCUAAGGAGGCUGCCCAAGCCUGUCAGUUUUCCUGUCAAUUUGAUUAAGUUUCUGACCUUUGUUUAUUUUUCUUUGGCCUUGAAUUGAAUGUCCUUGGGUUCUGGGCUCUCUUUUCUGUUUGGUGUCAUAUAUGUUGGAUAGCUGACCUCUGUGCUUACAGUGGGUCUGUGCGUUAUCAAAUAGGUCAUAACCCUCCUGUGGCCUGAAUCUAUUAGGACAGUUGGUAUCCACCAAGUUUCUCCUGAAGAGCUUAUGCCUGGUCAUAUCAGACAGACCUUGUAACAUUGCUUCUCCCCACUAUGGCAACGCAGCCCUGUCGGUCAGCACCCCUAAGGCGUAUCACCAGGGGAGUGGCAAUUUGGGGGACAAGGAUGUCCCUGUUUCCUGACCAACUCUUGUACUUCAGCCCAAAGAGCAUUUGGUUGGAGAGGAGGGGCGCACAUUAUACAUUUCUGGAUACUUCUGUUCUUAUUUGCAGUAAUCCCCGUGACUUCUUUUUUUCCCUUGACAAGACUAACAUGAGUCACCUCUUCAAAGCCAAACCAAGAGGCUUCAGAAACAGACUUAGUUUAAUAAGCAUGACUAAGGAAUAGGGUUUUGGGUAUAUGUUUUGUAGGAAGUGUUGAGCUUUUUUUCUUUUUUUAACUCCUGAUUUUGCAGGUAACUUGAGAUAGGUUGUGAUUAUCGAAAAUGAAGGGGGACAUCGACUUUAGAUGUGGCCGGAUGUUGGUCUCAUUCCCCACAUCAUCUCUCCUGGAAAAUCCCCAGGCCACUCCCGUUGACGAUGUACCUGCAAAUAUGCAGCCUGGUGGUCAUCUUGGUAUGCUUUGCUGUCAUGGUUAGAGGUUCAGCACAUACAACACAGGAAGUGAAACACCCCAGACAGUUACAGGCCUGGUUUGGCCGUUGGGGUUUAUAGAUGCUAGAGUUUGCCCGGAAUUGAAACAAGCCGGUUUUGACGGGUCCUAGUGAAUUGGCCUUCUUUUGGCAAAGGCUAGGGCUUUGAGUUGCUGGCCCAGCAGUGGCCAGUGGUCUGUGGUCUAUCCAUACUCAUAACUGGUCUCAGGCCUGUCAAGGGAAGGGGUUGGUCUGGGGACCAUCGAGGAAUGACACUUGGAAUCAAUAGAAUCAUAGGGGCACUUGGGUGGCUCGGUCAGUUAAGUAUCUGACUCUUGGUUUUGGCUCAGGUCGUGAUCUCAGGGUUCGUGAGUUCGAGUUCGGCAUCGGGCUCUGCACUGACAGUGUGAGCCUGCUUGGGAUUCCCUCUCUCUCUCUCCCUCUCAAAAUAAAUAACCUUAAAAAAAUAGAAUCACAUGCAUCCUGCUUUAAUUUCUAAAAAUUCCCUUGAAAUCCCUACUUGGGUGAACUAGGCAUUUCUCUGUUGUAGAGACUUUCCUACCAUUCUUUUGUACAGUUUCUCCAGCGCCCAGGGCUGCCCCUUAUUAAAUACCUACCUGUGCCGGGCAGUAUGGUAGGUGCAGUAUGGAAAACGUUUCAUUUCAUGAUGAGAAUGGUCCUCUGAGAUACCUGUGAUGCCCAUUUUACAAAUGAGGCAACUAAAAUCCAGGGACCCGAGUGGAAUUGCUCAAGGGAAUACUGCUGGGAUUUGAACACCACCAUUCUGCCUCCCUGGAGUCCUUUUUUCCCCCUUCCACCCCCUAACCUUGCUUCUUUGCCUCAGUUGCUUUUCUCAGAUCGUAGUAGCUCGGGUGAGACUGUAGAAUUAUCCUUUAUUCCUGUUUACCCCACCCGUGGAAUUAGUUCCCUCUUCUAUCUGUUCCUUUUUCGCUAUCAUUGCUUCCUCCAGAGAAGGAACUGGGUCCGUACCUGGGCUUCUGAACUAGGUUCCAGCCUGCCCCUCCUCGCCCCUGCUUCCAUUGUCCAUGCUGCUGCCAGAAUUUCCUUGAAGAACUUUACACUCGGUCAUGUCACUGUGCCCCCCUUGCGUCACUUCUAGGAAGAGUCCCAAGUGCUUGGCAUGUCGGGCAAGAGCUGGCCUCGGGUGAGCCUGCCCGGGCUCAUAUCCUGCUGGCUAUUCUGGAACCCCAUGAGCUUUAGCUGAACCCCAAACUACUAGUGUGCCCUUGAAUGGACCCCUGUUUGAUUAUAUGUCCAUGCCUGUGUCGGGAACACCUGCCUUGUGAGGGUUGCCUGUUCAUCCUGGAAGAGUCUGCCCUUGUGUUACCUCCUCCCGGAAGCCUCCCCCUUUCUCCCUCUCACCCCUCAUGUACCCUGCGGUGGUCUCAGCACCACAUGCCCCCCAUCUUUCCCCAAACUGAUCGUAGUGCAUCGCAGCAAACUGGAGGCAAUCACUCUUACCAGUUUUGAAGAUCUGGCUGGGUAUGUAGUGGCAAACACGUGGGUGAAAAAUUCUAAAACCUUUUUUACGUAGCUGGUAACAUUCCAUACCAUACGUACUGUUAAUAUACUUUUGUCAUGCAACAAUGUUAAUCUUGAAAAGAUACACACACACACACACACACACACACUCAUAUAUACGUACAUAAAAACCAGCAUCUGAAAGUAUCCUUUUUCCUAUUUUUGGCUGCAUAGUAUUUCAUCAUAUGGAUAAAUCAACAUUUAUUUAACCAGUUCCCUAUUACUGAGCAUUCGGGUUAUUCCCAAUCUUUUGCUUAUACAAACACGUAGUGAACAACCUAGAAACCUGUGUCAUUUUGCGCAUCCACGAACGUGCUUGUGGGACAAAUAUGCCAGCGGCUGGUCAAAAAGUAUGUGCUCAUUUCCUUUAACAAAGAUGUUACCAAAUUAACCGGCGCCCAAAGUGACAUUGCUGUUUGUCAAUUUCCUCGUGUGCCUCUCUCUCUGCAAGCUCCUUGCCUGCCAGGUGCCUGAAGGCUUCUGAACUAGGUUCCAGCCUGCCCCUCCUCGCCGGAAUGGUCUCACUCACCUUUUGUAUCCAGAUCAGCACAAGCUCCCAGCCAGCCUUUGGGUUUCUAGAGCUGGGGGAAGCCUCUCCGCGGGAUGGGAGGCUCCUUUGGGAUGGUGACGAAGGCUGUGGAGUUUCUCUGAGCUUUGAUGGUGCUGCACGUGGAUCUUGCCCGGACUUGUUUGGCGUCCUCAGCUCCGUGCCCUUUGCCACCCCUGCGUCAUAGUGUCUGCAGUUGCUCAAGGCGGACAAGGGCUGCCGGGACAGAAAACGGGGAUGGUCGUCAUGGCCCCACGUGCAGAGAUAUGGCUGUAGAUAAUCGGACGUCAUUUUUGCACUUGGCGGUCACCAUUCUGAAAUCCCAGCAAACCCCGCGUUUCUAGCUCCCCCCUCAAAGUCGCUUCGGGAUGUUUUCCUCUCCGAACACAGGGUGGAAAAGGCAACGUGCUCUUCUCUCUUGAGUUUCUGCCCACUCAGCACUGAGUGCGGUGGUUUGGGUCUAUGGGUUUGUUGUACGGUCGAGGACGCCCUGGGGCGUUAUGUCCAUGGCAGAAAUGACUCUGUGCUGUUAGGAAAAGUCAAGGUUCACCAAUCCCAAUCCAUCUGACUGAAAUUAGGUGCAGUUGAGUGAUUAUUUUGCUGAUGAUAUCUGGCUUUGAAAAUGUACGAUUCUGCAGAAGAUUAAACGGAAAUGAGAAAAAGCCAGAGGAAGAAACUGGACAUUUUGAUGCUGAAACUAGGGAGGAAUUAAAAAAAAAAAAUGGUGGAAGUAAAUAGCUGGUUUUAAAGGUUUCACUAAGAAGGAAAUACACAGGCAAUUAGUUACACAUUUUGAUUGAGGGCCGUCGUGGCCUCUCAUUGUAGACAACAUUGUGAUUCGCAGAACUGCUGGUGAUAGAGUAGGUUGGCAGGUCACAACUGUGUGUGUGACAUCCUUGUCGAGCCUCAGGUUUCUGGCCAACAAUAUGGAUUUAAAGGUAUUAUCAUAGGGGGCGCCUGAGUGGCUCCGUGGAAUAAGCGUCCAACCCUUGAUUUCAGCUCAGGUCAUGAUCUCAUGGUCAUGAGAUCGAGCCCCACGUCGGGUGUGGAGCCUGCUUAAGAUUCUCUGUCUCCUUCUCCCUCUGCCCCUACCUAGCUUGCUCUCUCUCUCUCUCUCU